AUGGCCUUGGCCCUUCUCCUUGCAGUGCUUGCCCACAGCUCAGGUUCCCUGAUCCAGGCAGCAUCGCUGACUCAGCCGUCCUUAUUGUCUCACAGAGUGAAGAAACUGUCAAGAUCACCUGCUCUGGGGGUAGCAACAACUAUUAUGGCAGAAGGUCCCUGGCAGUGGCCCUGUCACUGUGAUCUAUGCUAAUAGCAACAGACCCUCGAACAUCCCUUCGCGAUUCUCCGGAUCCCAGUCCGGCUCCACGGCCACAUUAACCAUCACUGGGGUCCAAGCCGAGGACGAGGCUGUCUAUUUCUGUGGUAGCUGGGACAGCAGCAGUGGUGGCUAUGUUUGGGGCAGGUCCUUCUGGGCCAUGAGCCAGGCUCUCGCUUUGGCUCAGGUCUGGGCAGGCAGAGCACAGGCACGUCUCUGA